UGGGGAAUGUUGCACAAUGGGCGCAAGCCUGAUGCAGCCAUGCCGCUGGGAUGAAGAAGGCCUUCUGGUUGUAAAGUACUUUCAGCGGGGAGGAAAGGAGUAAAGUUAAUACCUUUGCUCAUUGACGUUACCCGCAGAAGAAGCACCGGCUAACUCCGUGCCAGCAGCCGCGGUAGUACUGAGGGUGCAAGCGUUAAUCGGAAUUACUGGGCGUAAAGCGCACGCAGGCGGUUUGUUAAGUCAGAUGUGAAAUCCCCGGGCUCAACCUGGGAACUGCAUCUGAUACUGGCAAGCUUGAGUCUCGUAGAGGGGGGUAGAAUUCCAGGUGUAGCGGUGAAAUGCGUAGAGAUCUGGAGGAAUACCGGUGGCGAAGGCGGCCCCCUGGACGAAGACUGCCGCUCAGGUGCGAAAGCGUGGGGAGCAAACAGG
rnacentral:rRNA from 1 species